CAGCCGCCACGGGAAAACGGAGGGGGCUAGCGUUGUUCGGAAUUACUGGGCGUAAAGCGUACGUAGGCGGCUUUGUAAGUUAGAGGUGAAAGCCUGGUGCUCAACACCAGAACUGCCUUUAAGACUGCAUCGCUUGAACGUCGGAGAGGUGAGUGGAAUUCCGAGUGUAGAGGUGAAAUUCGUAGAUAUUCGGAAGAACACCAGUGGCGAAGGCGGCUCACUGGACGACUGUUGACGCUGAGGUACGAAAGCGUGGGGAGCAAACAGGAUUAGAUACCCCAGUAGUCCCUGUCUCUUAUAC
rnacentral:rRNA from 1 species